rnacentral:tRNA from 1 species
GGACAGGUGGGUGAGUGGUUAAAGCCAACAGACUGUAAAUCUGUCCCUCCUUGGAGGUACGAAGGUUCGAAUCCUUCCCUGUCCACCA